GACGAACGCUGGCGGCGUGCUUAACACAUGCAAGUCGAACGGAAAGGCCCUGCUUUUGUGGGGUGCUCAAGUGGCGAACGGGUGAGUAACACGUGAGUAACCUGCCCUUGACUUUGGGAUAACUUCAGGAAACUGGGGCUAAUACCGGAUAGGAGCUCCUGCUGCAUGGUGGGGGUUGGAAAGUUUCGGCGGUUGGGGAUGGACUCGCGGCUUAUCAGCUUGUUGGUGGGGUAGUGGCUUACCAAGGCUUUGACGGGUAGCCGGCCUGAGAGGGUGACCAGCCACAUUGGGACUGAGAUACGGCCCAGACUCCUACGGGAGGCAGCAGUGGGGAAUAUUGCACAAUGGGCGGAAGCCUGAUGCAGCAACGCCGCGUGCGGGAUGACGGCCUUCGGGUUGUAAACCGCUUUCGCCUGUGACGAAGCGUGAGUGACGGUAAUGGGUAAAGAAGCACCGGCUAACUACGUG
rnacentral:rRNA from 1 species